GCCCCUCUGCGCGGGAGCUCAGCUCCUCCCUCACGGCCCCCGGCGGAGCGGGAGGCGGGAAACGGCCGCCGCCACCGCCGCCGCCACCCGCCCGAGCCCUCUCCAGGUGCCGUGUCGCCCGGGCGCCGCGCCCCUCUGCGUCCCGCUGACCUGUCAAUCUACCUCACGGCGGGAGCUGGCGGGGGCUGAGCCGGGACUCGUCAGCACCGCUGCCCCUCUCAGGCCCGGGAGCCCGCGUACCUGGCAGUCAGUCAGUCUUUCCGCAGCGCCGAGGAGAAAUGGCUUGAGAAAGACAUGUUGAAGAGGAAAAAUACGUUAAGAUCUCUAUAAGAAUCAUGAUGUUUCCAAGGCAGUACAUGGUUUGGGGAAAUUGGAGAGAAUACUACCGAUGGAAAGGGAUAACAUCACAGCUGCCACAACAAUGCUAUCCAGUGUGCAAAUGUCAGAUGUUCAGAGGGACCAAGUCAUCUUGAUUAGAAUCGUGGAGGGCAGCAUCAGAUGGUAGCUGGCUUGUGGUUGACCUGGCCUUUGGUUAGAUAACUGUGCCUGAUCCUUAUGGCCAGGAAGGAAGGAGGUGUAACACUAUGGACGAGUGGGCAACUGGCUCUUGAGGCUUGGAACCAACAGGGGGCAGCAGAGAGCAGAGAAGAAUUGGUUGGCUUGGGCUGACCCAGACCUAGGAAAACUUCCAAUCUUCUUCUUCCCUCAAAACCGUAUCCUUGUGGACUCACUCUUGAGACUAUUGUCCACACAAGUGGUGUGGUCCAAGGCCACAGCAAGAAAGGUCUGAGGGAGUUCUUUGGGGUUCAGGUGGAGAAAAGCCUGUGCUGGAUGCCAGGCUGCUCUGAGAACAGGAAGGAAGAUAAUAAUGCUAACAGCAACAGUUACAAUUACCCAGCCCCUGUAGGGUGCCAGGCCCUCUGCCAAGGUGCUUUCUUUUCAUUCUCUCAAAGACUACUUGAGGUGAGGAAACUCCCAGUUUACAGAUGAGAAAACAGGGUCCCAGAGUGGUUAAAUACCUUGCCCAUGAUCACACGACUCAGGGAGGGCCAAGCCACAUUUUAGACUCUUGCCUGUCCUGCCAUCUGUGUUAUGGUGCCCUUCCAGGAAGGAGGCAGAAAGGUGCACCUGGAGUUAGAACAUCUUUGGGGAGUGCCCCGGACCCAAGGGAAGGCAAACAGUCCUUCUGGUACAGACUGCCGUCUCCUGAUGGCUACGGGUCUCCUGACAGAUUUAGCCAAUUCACUGGCUCACAGGUCCAUGCACCAUCCUCAGCAGAGCUGGGGUAAGGUAGCUGGGCUCGAACAGCCCCAGAAAAAGGCAAAAAGAAAGAUAACAGAAACUAGUAUGGAACUUUCAAGUACUUGCUGCGGAAGUCAUUGAUUUAUCUGCCUACUGUGAGAGUUAAUUAUGUCACGUUGGAAGGUCACAUUAGAACGCCCCUCACCUCCUGCAGCCUCAGCUCCACCCUGGGCUCAGAGAUCAAUCCUGGCCUUAUUUAGGGAACCACAUCCAAGCAUAUUUGAAAUUUUUGGGAUGGGCUUGGGGAUAUUGGCACCAGGGACAUCUUGCUGUCAGUACUGUCCUGAGUCUAAGAACUCCACUAAUGCCACAUUCCUCAAUCCAAGCCUAGAUCUAGGACUCAGGCUGCUGCCUCACUAAAUGCCUUGUCUUUUGGGUCACUGCAGACCAGGGCCCUGCCUUCUUUAGCCAAUGUCUGUUUCCCUCAUCUGGCAGUAGGACAUCAGUCUACCAAGAGUCACAUGUUCAUAUCCCAGCUUAGGUCCAAGUUGUGAGCCAACUUCAUUUCUUAAUGUAAUCACUUUUUUGGUUGCUUUUUUUCCUCUAAAAAGUAUGUAUGUUUUCUGAUCCUACAUAUAAUAUUUUCUGGGCCAACUGCAGUGGCACACACCUGAGCUACUCAAGGAAGCUGAGGUGGGAGGAUCCCUUGAGCCCAGGAGUUUGAGGUUACAGUGAACUAUGAUUGCGUCACUGUACUCCAGCCUAGACAGCUAGCAAGACCCCAUCUCUUAAAAAAAUUGUUGGAAAAUACAUUAAAGCAUCAAGGAGAAAAUAAUUUCUCCUAUCUUUCUGGAUUCAUUUUUCUCGACUGCACUUAUUACUAUCUAACACCGUCCUUUACUUAGGUUUUCAUUGUUUGUCUCCUUCUCUAGAAUGGGAGCUUGACAAGAUGAGGGAUUUCAUGUUUUGUUCACUGCAAGUUCCUUAAUUCCCAGAACAAUACCUGGCACAUUUACAGAAUGAAUGAAUUAAUUCAUAAUGCCAUGACAUCAGAUAUAAUUUUAUUUAAUAUUAUAGAGGGAGCAUUUUUCAAUGUCAAUAAAAUUUUUUC